rnacentral:rRNA from 1 species
AGUGAACGCUGGCGGUAGGCCUAACACAUGCAAGUCGAACGGCAGCACAGUAAGAGCUUGCUCUUACGGGUGGCGAGUGGCGGACGGGUGAGGAAUACAUCGGAAUCUACUAUUUCGUGGGGGAUAACGUAGGGAAACUUACGCUAAUACCGCAUACGACCUACGGGUGAAAGCAGGGGAUCUUCGGACCUUGCGCGAUUGAACGAGCCGAUGUCGGAUUAGCUAGUUGGCGGGGUAAAGGCCCACCAAGGCGACGAUCCGUAGCUGGUCUGAGAGGAUGAUCAGCCACACUGGAACUGAGACACGGUCCAGACUCCUACGGGAGGCAGCAGUGGGGAAUAUUGGACAAUGGGCGCAAGCCUGAUCCAGCCAUACCGCGUGGGUGAAGAAGGCCUUCGGGUUGUAAAGCCCUUUUGUUGGGAAAGAAAAGCAGCAGGUUAAUACCCCGCUGUUCUGACGGUACCCAAAGAAUAAGCACCGGCUAACUUCGUG